UCCAGACUCCUACGGGAGGCAGCAGUGGGGAAUAUUGCACAAUGGGGGAAACCCUGAUGCGGCGACGCCGCGUGAGUGAAGAAGUAUUUCGGUAUGUAAAGCUCUAUCAGCAGGGAAGAAAAUGACGGUACCUGACUAAGAAGCCCCGGCUAACUACGUGCCAGCAGCCGCGGUAAUACGUAGGGGGCAAGCGUUAUCCGGAUUUACUGGGUGUAAAGGGAGCGUAGACGGCAUGGCAAGUCAGAUGUGAAAGCCCGGGGCUCAACCCCGGGACUGCAUUUGAAACUGUCAGGCUGGAGUGUAGGAGAGGUAAGUGGAAUUACUAGUGUAGCGGUGAAAUGCGUAGAUAUUAGGAGGAACACCAGUGGCGAAGGCGGCUUACUGGACUGUAACUGACGUUGAGGCUCGAAAGCGUGGGGAGCAAACAGGAUUAGAUACCCGGG
rnacentral:rRNA from 1 species